UCUCAGUGUGAGCAAGGGCGCUCUUUCUUUAUCGCCCCUCACAUUUCAAGGAGGCCGAGUUGCUGCCUCCUCCCUCCAUUCCUUCCUUCUGCUUCCUCUUGCUUUUCGUGGACUAGCUAGUUCCUCCGAAGGCCCACUUGAUGCAGAGAAAACGGAGCGGUUCCCUUUGUCUCUAAUUGAUGCCGCGCUCUCAUCCUGCUUCCGAGUGGCAUGCUCACUCGGUUAUUUAACAAAUUACUCCACAGUCCUUGUUAGGACUAUUGACAUUUACAGCUAACCAGCCCCUACAGUUAGGGGCGAUGUGGUGACUGACUUGCACAGUCUUCCUUCCUUUUAUUUCAGUCCUGCGAUGGGGAAACAGGUGUCAAACAAUGAGAUCCUGGAAGCUCCCCUGCUGUGGCAGACAUCAUGAAGCUACAGACUGCUGAGUUAUGGAGAAAUGUGGCAGGACGGUGGCGUACAAUGGGAGAACUCAGGACAGUGACUGCACCCAUGAUAAAAAUAGCCGUGUGGAUAAGAAGUACACAUGAUGAACUGGUGCCAUGACACUUCUGAUCUAAACUGACUUCAGCACCACCUCCUCCAGGAAGGAGGCCUUCCCUGACCCCACCUGCUGAUCAUUCUAGGUACUUUACGUGAGCAUGCCCUGUCACUCCAAGAGAUCACGACUGAUCUUCACUUGUCUCCUCCCUCACCCAG
ensembl:lncRNA